CCCUAUCGUGGCAGCUACAUGCUCCUGGUCACCUGUAUACUCAUCUAAUUACAGUGGCGUUUGAACUAGUUUUGAAACUGAUUAGAUGGAUGUGUGAAGUGUUUCUUCCUUCCUUAUAAAGCUGGCCUAUUGUAUUGAAACUGAUGUGUGAAGUGUUUCUUCCUUCCAGUGGCGUUCGGCGAAUCUGCUACAGUCCGUG
rnacentral:lncRNA from 1 species